AGAGUUUGAUCCUGGCUCAAAUUGAACGCUGGCGGCAUGCUUUACACAUGCAAGUCGAACGGCAGCACGGGUGCUUGCACCUGGUGGCGAGUGGCGGACGGGUGAGUAAUACAUCGGAACGUAUCCUGAAGUGGGGGAUAACGCAUCGAAAGAUGUGCUAAUACCGCAUAUACUCUGAGGAGGAAAGUAGGGGAUCGAAAGACCUUAUGCUUUUGGAGCGGCCGAUGUCUGAUUAGCUAGUUGGUAAGGUAAUGGCUUACCAAGGCAACGAUCAGUAGUUGGUCUGAGAGGACGACCACCCACACUGGGACUGAGACACGGCCCACACUCCUACGGGAGGCAGCAGUGGGGAAUUUUGGACAAUGGGCGCAAGCCUGAUCCAGCAAUGCCGCGUGCAGGAAGAAGGCCUUCGGGUUGUAAACCUCUUUCACCAGGGACGAAGCGUGAGUGACGGUACCUGGAGAAGAAGCACCGGCCAACUACGUGCCAGCAGCCGCGGUAAUACGUAGGGUGCGAGCGUUGUCCGGAAUUACUGGGCGUAAAGAGCUCGUAGGCGGUUUGUCGCGUCGUCUGUGAAAUUCUGCAACUCAAUUGCAGGCGUGCAGGCGAUACGGGCAGACUUGAGUACUACGGGGGAGACUGUAUUUCCUGGUGGUAGCGGUGAAAUGCGCAGAUAUCAGGAGGAACACCGGGUGGCCGAAGGCGGGUCCUCUGGGUAGUAACUGACGCUGAGGAGCGAAAGCGUGGUAGCGAACAGAUUAGAUACCGCUGUAGUCCACGCCAGUAGACGGUGGGUAACAGAGGUGUGGGGCUUCCUUUUCAAGAGCAUCCGUGCCGUAGCUAACGCGUGAGUCGAACGCUUGAGGAAGUACCGGCGCAGGUGAAUCUCGAGUAUCGACGGGUCGCCAGCGAGUAAGUAGUGAUCUUAGUUGGAUG
rnacentral:rRNA from 1 species